AGUGAACGCUGGCGGUAGGCCUAACACAUGCAAGUCGAACGGCAGCACAGUAAGAGCUUGCUCUUACGGGUGGCGAGUGGCGGACGGGUGAGGAAUACAUCGGAAUCUACUUUUUCGUGGGGGAUAACGUAGGGAAACUUACGCUAAUACCGCAUACGACCUACGGGUGAAAGCAGGGGAUCCUCGGACCUUGCGCGAUUGAAUGAGCCGAUGUCGGAUUAGCUAGUUGGCGGGGUAAAGGCCCACCAAGGCGACGAUCCGUAGCUGGUCUGAGAGGAUGAUCAGCCACACUGGAACUGAGACACGGUCCAGACUCCUACGGGAGGCAGCAGUGGGGAAUAUUGGACAAUGGGCGAAAGCCUGAUCCAGCCAUACCGCGUGGGUGAAGAAGGCCUUCGGGUUGUAAAGCCCUUUUGUUGGGAAAGAAAAGCAGCAGGUUAAUACCCCGCUGUUCUGACGGUACCCAAAGAAUAAGCACCGGCUAACUUCGUG
rnacentral:rRNA from 1 species